rnacentral:rRNA from 1 species
AUUGAACGCUGGCGGCAGGCUUAACACAUGCAAGUCGAGCGGAGGUGAGGUGCUUGCACCUUAUCUUAGCGGCGGACGGGUGAGUAAUGCUUAGGAAUCUGCCUAUUAGUGGGGGACAACAUUCCGAAAGGGAUGCUAAUACCGCAUACGUCCUACGGGAGAAAGCAGGGGAUCUUCGGACCUUGCGCUAAUAGAUGAGCCUAAGUCGGAUUAGCUAGUUGGUGGGGUAAAGGCCUACCAAGGCGACGAUCUGUAGCGGGUCUGAGAGGAUGAUCCGCCACACUGGGACUGAGACACGGACCAGACUCCUACGGGAUGCAGCAGUGGGGAAUAUUGGACAAUGGGGGGAACCCUGAUCCAGCCAUGCCGCGUGUGUGAAGAAGGCCUUAUGGUUGUAAAGCACUUUAAGCGAGGAGGAGGCUACUGAGACUAAUACUCUUGGAUAGUGGACGUUACUCGCAGAAUAAGCACCGGCUAACUCUGUGCCAGCCGCCGCGGUAACAC